GUGCCAGCCGCCGCGGUAAUACCAGCUCCGCGAGUGGUCGGGACGAUUAUUGAGCCUAAAGCGCUCGUAGCCGGUCCGGUAAGUCCUGUGCUAAAUCCAACGGCUCAACCGUUAGGCCGCAUGGGAUACUGCUGGGCUAGGGAGCGGAAGAGGCCAGGGGUACUCCCGGGGUAGGGGCGAAAUCCUAUAAUCCCGGGAGGACGACCAGUGGCGAAGGCGCCUGGCUAGGACGCGUCCGACGGUGAGGGGCGAAAGCUGGGGGAGCGAACCGGAUUAGAUACCCGGGUAGUCCCAGCUGUAAACGAUGCGGAUUGGGUGCCGGUACGGCUUCGGGCCGUAUCGGUGCCUCAGGGAAGCCGUUAAAUCCGCCGCUUGGGGAGUACGGUCGCAAGACUGAAACUUAAAGGAAUUGGCGGGGGAGCACCACAAGGGGUGAAGCCUGCGGCUCAAUUGGAGUCAGCGCCGGGAACUUUACCGGGGGCGACAGCAGUAUGAGGGCCAAGCUGAUGACUUUGCCCGACGCGCUGAGAGGUGGCGCAUGGCCGUCGCCAGCUCGUGCCGUGAGGUGUCUGGUUAAGUCCAGGAACGAGCGAGACCCUCACCCCUAGUUGCCACCGCGCAAGCGGGCACACUAGGGGGACCGCCACCGCUAAGGUGGAGGAGGGAGGGGGCAACGGCAGGUCAGCAUGCCCCGAAUCCCCCGGGCCGCACGCGGGCUGCAAUGGUGGAGACAAUGGGUUCCGAACCCGAAAGGGGGAGGUAAUCCUUGAAACUCCACCGUAGUUGGGAUCGAGGGCUGCAACCCGCCCUCGUGAACCUGGAAUCCCCAGUAGUCGCGUGUCAUCAUCGCGCGGUGAACACGUCCCCGCUCCUUGCACACACCGCCCGUC
rnacentral:rRNA from 1 species